ACACAUGCAAGUCGAACGAAGCACUUAUCUUUGAUUCUUCGGAUGAAGAGGUUUGUGACUGAGUGGCGGACGGGUGAGUAACGCGUGGGUAACCUGCCUCAUACAGGGGGAUAACAGUUAGAAAUGACUGCUAAUACCGCAUAAGACCACGGAGCUGCAUGGCUCAGUGGGAAAAACUCCGGUGGUAUGAGAUGGACCCGCGUCUGAUUAGGUAGUUGGUGGGGUAACGGCCUACCAAGCCAACGAUCAGUAGCCGACCUGAGAGGGUGACCGGCCACAUUGGGACUGAGACACGGCCCAAACUCCUACGGGAGGCAGCAGUGGGGAAUAUUGCACAAUGGGGGAAACCCUGAUGCAGCGACGCCGCGUGAGCGAAGAAGUAUUUCGGUAUGUAAAGCUCUAUCAGCAGGGAAGAAAAUGACGGUACCUGACUAAGAAGCACCGGCUAAAUACGUGCCAGCAGCCGCGGUAAUACGUAUGGUGCAAGCGUUAUCCGGAUUUACUGGGUGUAAAGGGAGCGUAGACGGCUGUGUAAGUCUGAAGUGAAAGCCCGGGGCUCAACCCCGGGACUGCUUUGGAAACUAUGCAGCUAGAGUGUCGGAGAGGUAAGUGGAAUUCCCAGUGUAGCGGUGAAAUGCGUAGAUAUUGGGAGGAACACCAGUGGCGAAGGCGGCUUACUGGGCGAUGACUGACGUUGAGGCUUGAAAGCGUGGGGAGCAAACAGGAUUAGAUACCCUGGUAGUCCACGCCGUAAACGAUGACUACUAGGUGUCGGGGAGCAAAGCUCUUCGGUGCCGCAGCAAACGCAAUAAGUAGUCCACCUGGGGAGUACGUUCGCA
rnacentral:rRNA from 1 species